rnacentral:ribozyme from 1 species
GGCUGGCUACCUCGACGGUAGCAAGUGGCUCUCUUGAUAGUAACCUCCCACUUCUGUGCAGUGAGCUCGGAGAGAGUGUCGACGGGCAGUAUGUGACGCUGUAUUACGCUCGGGAUGGGAACAAACCGUUUCGUGCCUUUUGCA